rnacentral:rRNA from 1 species
UACGUAGGGUGCGAGCGUUGUCCGGAAUUAUUGGGCGUAAAGAGCUCGUAGGCGGUUUGUCGCGUCGACUGUGAAAACCUGGGGCUUAACUCUGGGCCUGCAGUCGAUACGGGCAGACUUGAGUUCGGUAGGGGAGACUGGAAUUCCUGGUGUAGCGGUGAAAUGCGCAGAUAUCAGGAGGAACACCAAUGGCGAAGGCAGCUCGCUGGAACGGUACUGACGCUGAGGCGCGAAAGCGUGGGGAGCAAACAGG